ensembl:lncRNA MALINC1 mitosis associated long intergenic non-coding RNA 1
GGGGCAGUAAAAAUGCCUUGUUCGGGCCACCCAUCUUUGGGCCCGGCUUCAUCUGCGAUGUCAGCACCAAAGGGUUGCCGUGCAGGGAGUGUCAGCCACGUCUAGCGCACAGUCCCAGGCCCCAGGGCGAAGGCGGCCAGGGGAAAUGGGGCUCAGGGAUUGCUAAGCAAACGCAUCACUGGUGGUCUCCAGCGCCUGCGGAGUAUCUUUUGCUGCCUCUUACGUAUUGUAGGCAGUGCCUGAUGGCUGAGAAGAAUCGCAGAGGACUAGAAAAGGUUUGAGUCUGAAAUUAUCUGGCACAGAGGAUUAAAGCUCAGAAAUAAGUGAUUGCGAAACAGUUCAACUUCCCUGUUAAUGACAACAACAACAGCAACACGCUUAUUAAUUCCUAGCUGGAGCAUCAAGCUUAUGAAGAUUUCCAAGACUUUAUUGUUGACCCUUGUUGAAGAGAACUCUACUUGGCUUCUUUCCUGGCUUUCCUAAAUUGUUCACAUACAAGAUAAACUACCGUCAUUCAGACUUACAGAAGUGAGAAGACAAGCUGAACCAAAUGUAAAAUGGUAGCAAUUUACAGAUGUCAGAACUAACAUGUGGAUGAACUUAGAGAUGGAGAAGAAAGCUGGGCUUUUCCAAAGAGUGGAUCUAUCUGAACUGGAUAGCACUAUUGAACUUUGUUGCAUAUUUUGUGGUAGCUCUAAAACUCCUCUGCUUGCUUACAUACAACCAGACACCAGUGCCUUCUGAAGCUAAUCCAGGCCAUUUUUAUAACCUAAUGCAGUAGCACUUUGCAAUUAGAUGAAGAAGAUCGGUGGGAUUUCUUUCUGUGGUGAUUAAAAUGUGUCAGGGGAAGAAAUCAAGACAAUACUCCAAGUGAAAAAUAUAAAGUCAGUUAUUUCUUUAAUAUUUUGUGUUAUAGUAAUCAUUUUUAUAUUUUGAGCAUACUUUUUCUUGUCUACUUAAAUACUCAAAAUUAAUUAUAAAAUGUAAAUGUAAGCACAAUGAGAUACCAUCUCAUCCCAGUUAAAAUGGCUUUUAUCAAAAAGAUAGGGAAUAAUGAAUACUGGUGGAAGGAUGUGGAGAAUGGGGAACCCUCGUACACUGUCAAUGAGAAUGUAAAUUAGUACAGCCACUAUGGAAAACUGUAUGGAAGUGCCUCCGAAAACAAAGUAGAACUACCAUGUGAUCCAGCAAUUACACUAGUGGGUAUAUAUUCAAAAGAAAGGAAAUCAACAUAUUAAAGAGAUAGCUGCAUUCUCAUGUUUAUUGAAGUCCUGUUGAAAUAGCCAAAAUAUGGAAUCAACCUAAGUGCCCAUCAGUGGAUGAAUGGUUAAAGAAAAUGUGAUUGAUAUGCAAUGGAAUAUUAUUCAGCCAUAAAAAAGAAUGAAAUCCUGGCGGGGCACAGUGGCUCAUGCAAGUAAUCCCAGCACUGACCUCAUGAAGACAGAGAGUAGAUUGGUGGUUACCAGAGGUUGAGAAGGGGAGAGGAGAGGAGGGAUGAAGAGAGGUUGAUUGAUGGAUAGAAAUAUACAGUUUGAUAAUGAUAAAUCAGUAGGGUGACUAUAGUUUAUAAUAACCUAUUGUAUGGUUCAAAAUAGCUAAAAGAGAAUAAUUGAAAUAACGUAAGACAAAAAUUUAAGAUGAUAGAUAUCCCAAUUACACUGAUUUGAUCUUUACAAAUUAUAUGAAUGUAUUAAAUUAUUACAUGUAUCCCCAAAAUAUGUACAAGUAUUUUGUAUCAAUAAAAAAUAAAAUUUAAGAUAAAGUAAAUGUAAUGAUUAGCUUAUAUUUCCUAGAUCGGAAAUAAAUAUUUACUUAAGUAUGUUUAUGAUGAAGAGUUUUUUUAUAUUACUAUAAAAAUAGACACCUUACAUAAACAUAUUACAGUUGGUGUUUAGAUGGCUCUUUUUUUUCUGGCCUUGAAUUUCUGGAAAGUAGGUAUGGCCUGCUAUGUCAGGACUAGUUCUUGGAAUUCUUUGUUGUUUUUCAGUCAGCCUUAUUUUCUUGGGUCAUGUUUUGAACAAUAUUUAUCAAAUGUCUGUUUACCAGACGUUGUUCCAGAUGCUUGAACAAAAUGAAAUGUCUGCUGUCAUAGAGUUUCCAGUCUAUGUAAGACAGUAAACAAAUGUAUAAUAUAAUGCUAGAUAGUGAUAAGUGCUAAAAAGAAGAAGAAAAUAGGAAAGGGGAAAGAGAGUUUCUGUGUGAUUGUAUGUGAAAGUGUCCAUGCAUGCCGCUCACCCAGUAUUUUAAAUAGAGUGAUCAAGGAAGCCUGUCUGAAGAAGUAACAUUUGAACAGAGAUCUGAAAUAGUCAGUCACGGGAACAUUUAGGGAGAUGUUCCAGGCAGGCAUUGUGGACAAUUUAUGUCACAAAAAAGUCACCCAAGUGUUAAGUCAAGUAACAUCCUGUAUGAUAACUAUAUAUACAUUUUUUUGUUUUUUCUUAAGUGAAAAACAAACUUAUUAGGUUUUCUGGGUACUCAUUAGGUUUUCAGAAAAGUUUUUCAUUUAAUAUCAUUAUUGCUGUAUAUUUCCCUUAAUGAUUAUUCUAUUAUUUAAUACAUAAGAUUUAUGGCUCUACAGAUACAGCUUCACAAUCCCUUAUCUGUAAUUCCAAAAUACAAAAAAAUUUCUUAAUUCAUUUAGUGGCAAAAUCUGAACUGACAUGAAUCUAUUUAAAAUUAUCCUUUAUGGGCCAGGUGCAGUGGCUUACGCCUAUAAUCCCAGCACUUUGGGAGGCCAAGGCAGGAGGAUCACUUGAGGCCAGGAGUUUGAGACCAGCCUGGCCAACAUGGUGAAAUCCCAUUUCUCCUAAAAAUACAAAAAUUAGCUGGGUGUGGUGGCACAUGCUUGUGGUCCCACCUACUUGGGAGGCUGAGGCACGAGAAUCACUUGAACCUGGGAGGUGGAGGUUGCCGAGAUCUUGCCACUGCACUCCAGCCUGGGUGACAGAGCGAAACUCUUGUCUCAAAAAAAAAAAAAGUAUUUAUUCCAUUUAGUGUGACUACUGAUACAUUUCAUUGUAGAAACAUUAGUGUGUUUGAUGAAGGGUUGCUACACAUUAAGUAAAAUAUAGAUAAUACAAUGUAUUGUACCCUAAAAUAUAAAAAAAAUUAAAUCCAGAAACACGUGUUCCCAAGAAUUUUGGAUAAGGGAUUGUAGAUCUGUGUCAGAUUUCUUCUUGAUUUUCUGAUUAAAUGUUACCAUUGUUGUUAAUCUUUAGAUACAUUGUUUUUAGAAGUAUAAUGCUAUAUAGUGCCCUUAUUAUAUACUGGCAUUGCAUAAGCACUCUA